UCGAUCUGCGUUAGGCAGCCGCCGCCAAUUUUGUUCGACAGAAUCGGUGGAGGAAAGUCCGGACACAGGCUCGAGCAAUCGGGCAGAAUGGUAGCGGGUAACGCCCGUCCGCCGAAAGGCGAGAGAUGCGAACAGUGACGGUUUUUCGCGAAAGUGAAAAACCGCCCUGCGAAGCCCAGAAAUAUUUUGGGCGGAGCAGGGCGAGCUUGAGCAGGAAAUCGGAAGGUCCUUCUUCGCGUAAAGCUUCGAAGGACACCUUUCGCCAAAGGCUCAAGGUGCAACGGCAAAAUUCUUACCUCUGUGCAAGGCCGUGCUUGUUAACGCCACGCGUGGUGACAAGAGAGCCGCUUGAGGUGAAUGGUGACAUUCAUCCCAGAUACAUGGUUGCCGCCGAUUUUGCCUAAACAGAAUCGGAACAAAAUCCGGCUUAUAGGCGCAACGAACGA
rnacentral:RNase_P_RNA from 1 species